UACAGAGGUCCCAAGCGUUGUUCGGAUUCACUGGGCGUAAAGGGUGCGUAGGUGGUCGGGUAAGUCUGAUGUGAAAUCUCCGAGCUCAACUCGGAAAUGGCAUUGGAUACUAUUCGGCUAGAGGAGUGGAGGGGGGACUGGAAUACUUGGUGUAGCAGUGAAAUGCGUAGAUAUCAAGUGGAACACCAGUGGCGAAGGCGGCAUCCUGGACCGGCAUUGACGCUGAGGAGCGAAAGCCAGGGGAGCAAACGGG
rnacentral:rRNA from 1 species